rnacentral:lncRNA from 1 species
AUUCACUCCCAUAGACCACAAGCCCACACAUCUUAAUAUAAUCUUCAUUCACUCUCUCUUCACUCGUGCAGAUAGUAGGCAUGGUGAAAGCGGUGGCAAUAGUAGUGGCCUUAGCCCUGGCCAUGGUAGUGGCAAUGAGUGUAGGCAGGGUGUCAGCAAACUGCAACAUCGCGCUGCUAGCAGUUUGCAAGACAGCGGUCAUCGGAGGUUUAAAACCCACUGUGACGUGCUGCUCCAUCCUGCGAGCACAGGAGGCAUGCUUGUGCAAAUACCAGAAAGACCCCAAGUAUGGCAUGUACAUUAACCCUGCCCGCAAAAUGAUUACCUCCUGCGGCAUGGCCAUCCCCAACUGCUAGGUGCCCUUCCCAUGCCCCCACCGUGUCAGUGUUGGAUGUGUGCCUUGUUACCUCUUGUGUGCAUGUAACAUGCCUUAUAUAUAAAUAAAUAAUUUCGGCAAAAGAACUAGUUUAUUGGUUGAAGAUGCAUAGGUCUACGCAUGUCGAUCAAUCUCUGUAUGUUUGUAUUCAAUUUACACCUUAUAUGGACCAUCAUAUAGCACUAAGAGUGAUGGUGCAUAUCCGUGCCCUGUUCAAGACAUGCUUUUCAUUAGCGGCCAGGAACAUUCAUACCAGAUGUAAAGUGAUGGCUUAGCCUCAACAUUGUCAUGCUAGACUGCAAAGCCUCAAGAUUUUCUCAAAUCUAAGACCGAAUAGAACAGUGGCUUUACCCACAGGCGGCACGCUGACCCAACCUAGCUAUGCAGGAGACAUGCUUCUGCCAAGACGUGGAAGACCCCCCAACGCCACAAUCUAGCAUUGUAAACAGCCAAAAAUGGGUGUAAUAAUUUUCCUACCAACAUAAGACUGUCUCUAUUUAUAUGAGAGGAUCCAUAUAUCCAAUUGUCAAAAACACAUCUACCUUUACUUUUUUACCUCUAAAUAUAAUCCCCUCCAAAAGCCUUAUUGUGCAACACAUUCUAGGUGCCUUUGUCGAUCCUAGACCACCCUUGCUAUCACCGCUACAAUAGAACUUAACUGUGGCAGGCAUUUUACAUUUACUGUGCCAGUUUUUACAACUGCCACAGACACAAGGUCAAGUUAAUUGUGGCUUAAUUGAGGCAGUUUAUAAAACCACCAUAGUUAAUCCAUUAGCCGUGGCGGGCGACAUAAGGCAAGCACCAUGGUAAAUAGACAUUCACGAUGACAGCUGCCUUAUGUCGCCCUGUGGCCUACAAGAUUUAGUUUCCUGAAGAGUUGAACUCAAUAUUUCUAGUUUUUCAUGUGUCCCAGCUGAGGAAAUGUUUGAAAGUGCCCGAGCAGCGGAUUGAACCUCAAGGAAUCAAGAUAAAGGCAGAUUUGGAAUAUAAAGAGCAACCGGUGGGUAUCGUAGAUACCAAGGAGCGGGUAACCCAGAAUAGAGUUGUCAAAACUUACAAGGUGGUAUGGAGUCAUCACGACGAUAGAGAUGCCACCUGGGAAACCGAGGAUUACCUAAAAACAGUUUACCCAAAAUUUCAUAAGAAAUGGUUAGUAACCCAAAAUCUCGGGACGAGAUUUCUCUAAGGUGGGAAGGGCUGUAACACCCUAGGUGUUAAGCAUGCACUUAAGUUUCAUAAACAUUCUCAUCAAGCAUAGCAUAAGCAUAGCAUCACAUGAGCAUGGCAUUAAUCCAAGUGUGAUUUUAUGUGCUUGAAUUUCAUGGUUUAUAUAUGAUAGAAAUAGUGUGCUUGUUGCCAAAAUUCUUGAAAUGCCCAAAAUAGGUUGAAAUAUGUUUAGAAGAAUUAAGAGUAAUUUGGUGAAAUUUUUGGAGCUAUAGAAAUUGAGAAAAUGGAUUUUUACAAAAAUCCCCAAAAUGAAUUCAUUUAAAAACCUAUAACUAGUUUUAAGUUGUAUCUCAAAUUCUAUUUAAAAUUUGGGAUUUCAACUUGAAUCAAAGUUGUAGAACUCUUUAUUUGUGACAACUUUUGUUUUUGGGGGUAAAGCUGAAAAAGGUUUUAAAAUAGUCAAAAUGAAUUUGGAAAAAGAAUUGAGAAAAUAAAUUCAAAAAAAAGAAAGGGGGCAGGCGCUGCUGGGCCGACCCGCCUCCCAUUUGGCCCGCUCAGCCACGCGGCCCAUUUCCCCCUCCCCUCUCACGCGCGCGGACGCGCCCGCCUCGCUCCACCCGGCGCCGGCCACGUGGCGGCCGUACGCCAGCAUCGUGGACGCGGCCGCCCGCCCGAUCGGCUUAACCCGGUAGGGAUGCCACCCCGCGCCCCCAAAAUGCCCCACUCUGUCCCAUACCAACUCCUUCUUCUUCCUCGCUCGCGCGCAGCAGCAGCCGCGGCGGUGCUCCGCCGUGCGCCAUUGGCAUCGCAGCCAAGCUCCCCACUCCGACCACCCGCGUUCGAUUAAACCCACCCCCAGCUCCGUCUCGACGAGCUCUACCUCGUGCGCACACUCCUGGCUGUCCGCGUCAAGGUAUUGGGUGAGAUUCCGCCACCGCACCAUGGCCGGAGCUUCGGCAAGCUCUCGGUCCGCGCCGAUCUUCCUCCCCUGACCCUCUUUCUCUUCUUUAAUUAGCGCAUUUUGGUCGCCGCACCCCAGCGAACCCUAUGCGCCUCUCCGUUCGCGUUCUAUUGGCUGGAGGCGGCCAGACGCCGAUGAGCAGCGCCACCGAGCUCCACCAUGCGCCAUACCCACCGCUAGGGACCUCCACCGCCGACGUGAGUUAGCGCAACGUGUUCGUCUCGUCGAGACAAAGCCGUAGGUGACGGCCGUGCCACCGGAGACCUCGCCGUCGACGAGAGCCAGCCGGUCGAAGGCGGCCGGACUACGGCGCGGCUGACCAGUGGGGCCACGACCCCUGGGUCCCGCCUGUCAAGAUCUUUGCGGGUGUGGAUCAGGGUGGAUCUAGUGUUUUUCCUCAGUUUUUCUUAAAUAAAGGUUUCAGAAAUCAUUUAAAUCUUGUAUAUUUCAUAACUUGAGUUCUACAGCUCCAAAAAUGAUGAAAUAAAUUAUGGUGUGUUCUAAAAUUUCAGAUCUACCAUUUGGUGUAAUUGCAUGUUAUAUUUGAACGACUUUUCUGUACAAAUGUAUUUAAUCCAUGUUUUUGCUAAUAAUUAGAAAAUGCAUAGCAAUUAAAAUAUAACUCAGAAAAAUGUGAAACUUGUUUUGUUAGCUUUUCAUGGAUGAUUAGCCUCUGGGAAAAUAUGUCAUACAUUAGUUGCUGUAUAAACUAAUUUAUAAUGAUUUAAAUGCUUGCAUGGCAAUGGUGUAUGAUUUUUAGUAAAUAAUUGGAUCAUGCAAUUAAUCUCGAAAUUUUUGUGGGAGUUCCUCAUCAUAGUAAUUAAUUUAUAAAAAUAUGAAAUCUGUUGUUUAACACUUUAUCACCAGUGGGUAAUUAUAGUUACUAUAUAGAAUAAACUUGUGUUUUUGUGUGGGCUAAGCUAUCUGUCCAAAUAUUAUAAAAAAUUUGUGGUGGACUUUAAAUGGGACCAGUGAUCUACUGUAAUUUUUGUGAAAUUUAUUGAUAAUCAUAAGUACAGGCUACUGUUGUAGGUCCAAUGAUAAUUAAAAUAAAUUAGGAAUUGUUGUGCAUGAGUUAAAUGGCAUAAAAGGGUGUUUGGUGUAUCUUUGAAGCAUCAUGUUAGCUUGCUUGUUAACCAUGAAAACAACUUGUAGAAGAGAAUGCAAUAGAUGCUUAAUUUGAGUACAUGUUCUUGGAUGAUGUUGACUACCUUGUAGAAAUAAUCACCUAUAUCAUCUAUGCAUGAUUUCAUGGUCAUCUGGUACCCACUUGCAUAAGCAUUGCAUCCCGGGCAUCUCACACUCCACUCAUGAACACACAUGCAUCAUACAGGCUCGCAGGAGAACGAGGUGGGACACAAGAAGCAGGAAGAGGCCCAGGAGCAGGAACUUCCGGGAGGACCAGAGCCGGAAGGAGAGCUUCAGGAGUGUGCGGACCACAAGCCUAGCAUGUUUGAGAAAGGAAAGCCCCGGAGCAUUCUAAGUCUCCCUAUUCUCGCUAACUUAAUUGAUAUAUUAUGAUUGUUCUACUAUGUUGCAUCUAAGUGAUAGGAAUUGCUUGAUACCGUUGAUGCAUACUUACUCCUUGAUAUCACCACCUGUUUAUCUACCUUGUCCUAUGUAGUAGGCUCGGAGUCUAUGCUUAGCUUGCUUAGUACGGUAGAAAUCAGGUGAUUUCGAGUCACCUGCGAGAUAUAGGUGGACACCUCAAUGAUAAGCGGUCAAUGCUGUUGUGAGAAGUAACCAAGUGUGGGAAUGAACUUGAGACCGGUCAGGGUCUUAUGGUGGAGUUGACCGUAGUGCCCCUGCCUGUGUCGAUUAAGGACCGAUCAUUGACGACCCUCUUGUCAUGUUGAACGCAUGCCCACACUAAGCUGGAAGGAUAAGUCAUUCCGACCGUGAAGCCUGAGCACUAUCUGGGCCAGGAAUCGGCUCGAUGUACGCGUUGUAUUGGUGAUCUUUGAGGAGAACGAUGAGGGCGCGGUGUGCAACCUUGGUAUACCUUGGAUACCUCGGUCGACGAAACGGUCCUCGGGUACGAGUGGUGCCUGUCGAACACGUGAAUUGGUCCUGUAUAGUGUAAUACGGUGAUCUGUAGCUCACUUGAUCAGUGAGUGUGGUUUGUGUGGAGAACAAACUCGCCAGCUGGUCAGAAAUCGAUUCGUAUCGCCAUCGCUCCUGGAUAAUGAGCACUUGACAUGAGCCCUGUCCUGGUAGUAAGGUCUAUGAAACACUUGGGAUAUGAUAAGGAAUGUUUUGUGAAUGUUAUGAUGAGGUACCAUCAUAUCACAACACUUGUUUGCAAUAGUAUAGGUGCAAAUCUGGAUGAUAGGUAAUAACACCUGCCCUGAGCUAAUUAAAGAAGAAGGGUAAGGCUAGGAUAUACAUCUAGUUAAUUAAUGCUUUUGGGCAAAAGGUCUCAGCUACCCCAUCAAACAGCCUUCAUGAUCCUUGAAGAGUCUUUAUUUUUGGUUUAUGACGGGUAAGUCUAGCUGAGUACAUUCUCGUACUCAGGGUUCCAUUCCCAUGUUGUUUUGCAGAUGGGCAGAUGUACUAUGGUUAUUGCGUUCACUGCUUGUACCCAGCGAUGGGUGAUGACUAGACCGAGGGCGAUGGUCACUCUACCUUCUCUUUUGCUUUUGGGCGAAUGAUCAACAAUGGCACUGUAUCAGACUGAAUGUGUGUGUGUUAUUUUAAAACUAUGAAGCUUCCGCUACUUGUGAACUUGGUUUGUAAUAACUACAUUUGAACUCCGAUGUAUGUGAUGUAUGUUGCGAACUGGAUGUAACUGUGAAUGGUGACCGCUGAACUUAUUACGAUCUUGGCUGUAUGUAUGAGUUGUGGUUUGAAAUCCUUCGAGAUUUCACGGACUACCGGGAUUAUAUGGGCUUAAGCUUGAUGAUUUGACUCUGCAAACGGUCAAUAUUAGGCUUAAUCUCUCAUAAUUUGGACGGUUAUGUUACAUCCGUAACCGAUAAUGAUCCUGUCCAAUGAUAGGCAGGGCCCACAUAAGAUGGUGGUAUUUGUCCUCUGUUUGCCACAUGUUUGGCAGCCGCCACAUACGCAAGUUCAUUUUUUCCUCUGCUUCUCUGCCAUAUAGACUGAAUACAGAGCACUAUGAUGGGCUCUAGGAAUGCAAAACACUAGCCCAAAUAGAAUAAUGUUUUGCUAAGCCCAAUACAUUUCAUCUUCUUCCUUGUGAAGGGGCAGGUGUCUGACAAUUUUCAGGGGCUAUACACGCCGGAGCCAAGGUAUGGCGAGGGCAUACUUUCAACACUUAGUCCUUCGCCCCACAUAGUACACGUUGGCAUUUGAGGCAUGUUAGUUGUAGAAAUAGAGAAGAGAAUAGAUGUAUAUAGACAAGAUAUAUAUAUAGAGAUAUGCCAUAGAUGAGUGAUGCAAUUUGUAGCUCCAAACUGUAACAAACAUUGUGUUGGAGGGAUAGAUGGGGAAGUGAGUCACGUGCCCAGAGGAAUAGAAGAGGCAGAACGAUGGAGAAGUAAACUGACAAACUAUGGGACCAAUAGGAAAAGUUUUCUGCAUUUAAUAUUAUGUAGGAUAGAUAUAGAUAUAGAGAUUAUGUAUAGAUACAGAUUAAAUUGAACUACACUUCUAUAAUUUUCAACAGAUAUUGUAGCUCCAAUAUAGUCUGCUCCUGCUAGGCUUCAAAUUCCUUCGGUGUGUGGUGGGUCAACUAGAAGAGUGGUGGGAGCGAGUGGCGGACAAAUGAAGAAGACAUAUUUAUAUAAUUUAAUAAUUAUUAGUUAUCUAUAAAAAUGUCUAGUGACAUGCUAGAUAUAUUAUAGAUAUUGAGAUACAUAUUAAAGUAAAUUUUCAUAUAAUAAUAUAUUAGAAGGGAGUGAAUUGUGUUGUUCACGCAACUUUUGCUAUACCAGGUUUUGUUGUAUAUAAAUACUAAGCCAAAAUAUGCAUCGAUUCACUCCCAUAGACCACAAGCCCACACAUCUUAAUAUAAUCUUCAUUCACUCUCUCUUCACUCGUGCAGAUAGUAGGCAUGGUGAAAGCGGUGGCAAUAGUAGUGGCCUUAGCCCUGGCCAUGGUAGUGGCAAUGAGUGUAGGCAGGGUGUCAGCAAACUGCAACAUCGCGCUGCUAGCAGUUUGCAAGACGGCGGUCAUCGGAGGUUUAAAACCCACUGUGACGUGCUGCUCCAUCCUGCGAGCACAGGAGGCAUGCUUGUGCAAAUACCAGAAAGACCCCAAGUAUGGCAUGUACAUUAACCCUGCCCGCAAAAUGAUUACCUCCUGCGGCAUGGCCAUCCCCAACUGCUAGGUGCCCUUCCCAUGCCCCCACCGUGUCAGUGUUGGAUGUGUGCCUUGUUACCUCUUGUGUGCAUGUAACAUGCCUUAUAUAUAAAUAAAUAAUUUCGGCAAAAGAACCAGUUUAUUGGUUGAAGAUGCAUAGGUCUACGCAUGUCGAUCAAUCUCUGUAUGUUUGUAUUCAAUUUACACCUUAUAUGGACCAUCAUAUAGCACUAAGAGUGAUGGUGCAUAUCCGUGCCCUGUUCAAGACAUGCUUUUCAUUAGCGGCAAGGAACAUUCAUACCAGAUGUAAAGUGAUGGCUUAGCCUCAACAUUGUCAUGCUAGACUGCAAAGCCUCAAGAUUUUCUCAAAUCUAAGACCGAAUAGAACAGUGGCUUUACCCACAGGCGGCACGCUGACCCAACCUAGCUAUGCAGGAGACAUGCUUCUGCCAAGACGUGGAAGACCCCCCAACGCCACAAUCUAGCAUUGUAAACAGCCAAAAAUGGGUGUAAUAAUUUUCCUACCAACAUAAGACUGUCUCUAUUUAUAUGAGAGGAUCCAUAUAUCCAAUUGUCAAAAACACAUCUACCUUUACUUUUUUACCUCUAAAUAUAAUCCCCUCCAAAAGCCUUAUUGUGCAACACAUUCUAGGUGCCUUUGUCGAUCCUAGACCACCCUUGCUAUCACCGCUACAAUAGAACUUAACUGUGGCAGGCAUUUUACAUUUACUGUGCCAGUUUUUACAACUGCCACAGACACAAGGUCAAGUUAAUUGUGGCUUAAUUGAGGCAGUUUAUAAAACCACCAUAGUUAAUCCAUUAGCCGUGGCGGGCGACAUAAGGCAAGCACCAUGGUAAAUAGACAUUCACGAUGACAGCUGCCUUAUGUCGCCCUGUGGCCUACAAGAUUCAGUUUCCUGAAGAGUUGAACUCAAUAUUUCUAGUUUUUCAUGUGUCCCAGCUGAGGAAAUGUUUGAAAGUGCCCGAGCAGCGGAUUGAACCUCAAGGAAUCAAGAUAAAGGCAGAUUUGGAAUAUAAAGAGCAACCGGUGGGUAUCGUAGAUACCAAGGAGCGGGUAACCCAGAAUAGAGUUGUCAAAACUUACAAGGUGGUAUGGAGUCAUCACGACGAUAGAGAUGCCACCUGGGAAACCGAGGAUUACCUAAAAACAGUUUACCCAAAAUUUCAUAAGAAAUGGUUAGUAACCCAAAAUCUCGGGACGAGAUUUCUCUAAGGUGGGAAGGGCUGUAACACCCUAGGUGUUAAGCAUGCACUUAAGUUUCAUAAACAUUCUCAUCAAGCAUAGCAUAAGCAUAGCAUCACAUGAGCAUGGCAUUAAUCCAAGUGUGAUUUUAUGUGCUUGAAUUUCAUGGUUUAUAUAUGAUAGAAAUAGUGUGCUUGUUGCCAAAAUUCUUGAAAUGCCCAAAAUAGGUUGAAAUAUGUUUAGGAGAAUUAAGAGUAAUUUGGUGAAAUUUUUGGAGCUAUAGAAAUUGAGAAAAUGGAUUUUUACAAAAAUUCCCAAAAUGAAUUCAUUUAAAAACCUAUAACUAGUUUUAAGUUGUAUCUCAAAUUCUAUUUAAAAUUUGGGAUUUCAACUUGAAUCAAAGUUGUAGAACUCUUUAUUUGUGACAACUUUUGUUUUUGGGGUAAAGCUGAAAAAGGUUUUAAAAUAGUCAAAAUGAAUUUGGGAAAAGAAUUGAGAAAAGAAAUUCAAAAAAAAGAAAGGGGGCAGGCGCUGCUGGGCCGACCCGCCUCCCAUUUGGCCCGCUCAGCCACGCGGCCCAUUUCCCCCUCCCCUCUCACGCGCGCGGACGCGCCCGCCUCGCUCCACCCGGCGCCGGCCACGUGGCGGCCGUACGCCAGCAUCGUGGACGCGGCCGCCCGCCCGAUCGGCUUAACCCGGUAGGGAUGCCACCCCGCGCCCCCAAAAUGCCCCACUCUGUCCCAUACCAACUCCUUCUUCUUCCUCGCUCGCGCGCAGCAGCAGCCGCGGCGGUGCUCCGCCGUGCGCCAUUGGCAUCGCAGCCAAGCUCCCCACUCCGACCACCCGCGUUCGAUUAAACCCACCCCCAGCUCCGCCUCGACGAGCUCUACCUCGUGCGCACACUCCUGGCUGUCCGCGUCAAGGUAUUGGGUGAGAUUCCGCCACCGCACCAUGGCCGGAGCUUCGGCAAGCUCUCGGUCCGCGCCGAUCUUCCUCCCCUGACCCUCUUUCUCUUCUUUAAUUAGCGCAUUUUGGUCGCCGCACCCCAGCGAACCCUAUGCGCCCCUCCGAUCGCGUUCUAUUGGCUGGAGGCGGCCAGACGCCGAUGAGCAGCGCCACCGAGCUCCACCAUGCGCCAUACCCACCGCUAGGGACCUCCACCGCCGACGUGAGUUAGCGCAACGUGUUCGUCUCGUCGAGACAAAGCCGUAGGUGAUGGCCGUGCCACCGGAGACCUCGCCGUCGACGAGAGCCAGCCGGUCGAAGGCGGCCGGACUACGGCGUGGCUGACCAGUGGGGCCACGACCCCUGGGUCCCGCCUGUCAGCAUCUUUGCGGGUGUGGAUUAGGGUGGAUCUAGUGUUUUUCCUCGGUUUUUCUUAAAUAAAGGUUUCAGAAAUCAUUUAAAUCUUGUAUAUUUCAUAACUUGAGUUCUACAGCUCCAAAAAUGAUGAAAUAAAUUAUGGUGUGUUCUAAAAUUUCAGAUCUACCAUUUGGUGUAAUUGCAUGUUAUAUUUGAACGACUUUUCUGUACAAAUGUAUUUAAUCCAUGUUUUUGCUAAUAAUUAGAAAAUGCAUAGCAAUUAAAAUAUAACUCAGAAAAAUGUGAAACUUGUUUUGUUAGCUUUUCAUGGAUGAUUAGCCUCUGGGAAAAUAUGUCAUACAUUAGUUGCUGUAUAAACUAAUUUAUAAUGAUUUAAAUGCUUGCAUGGCAAUGGUGUAUGAUUUUUAGUAAAUAAUUGGAUCAUGCAAUUAAUCUCGAAAUUUUUGUGGGAGUUCCUCAUCAUAGUAAUUAAUUUAUAAAAAUAUGAAAUCUGUUGUUUAACACUUUAUCACCAGUGGGUAAUUAUAGUUACUAUAUAGAAUAAACUUGUGUUUUUGUGUGGGCUAAGCUAUCUGUCCAAAUAUUAUAAAAAAUUUGUGGUGGACUUUAAAUGGGACCAGUGAUCUACUGUAAUUUUUGUGAAAUUUAUUGAUAAUCAUAAGUACAGGCUACUGUUGUAGGUCCAAUGAUAAUUAAAAUAAAUUAGGAAUUGUUGUGCAUGAGUUAAAUGGCAUAAAAGGGUGUUUGGUGUAUCUUUGAAGCAUCAUGUUAGCUUGCUUGUUAACCAUGAAAACAACUUGUAGAAGAGAAUGCAAUAGAUGCUUAAUUUGAGUACAUGUUCUUGGAUGAUGUUGACUACCUUGUAGAAAUAAUCACCUAUAUCAUCUAUGCAUGAUUUCAUGGUCAUCUGGUACCCACUUGCAUAAGCAUUGCAUCCCGGGCAUCUCACACUCCACUCAUGAACACACAUGCAUCAUACAGGCUCGCAGGAGAACGAGGUGGGACACAAGGAGCAGGAAGAGGCCCAGGAGCAGGAACUUCCGGGAGGACCAGAGCCGGAAGGAGAGCUUCAGGAGUGUGCGGACCACAAGCCUAGCAUGUUUGAGAAAGGAAAGCCCCGGAGCAUUCUAAGUCUCCCUAUUCUCGCUAACUUAAUUGAUAUAUUAUGAUUGUUCUACUAUGUUGCAUCUAAGUGAUAGGAAUUGCUUGAUACCGUUGAUGCAUACUUACUCCUUGAUAUCACCACCUGUUUAUCUACCUUGUCCUAUGUAGUAGGCUCGGAGUCUAUGCUUAGCUUGCUUAGUACGGUAGAAAUCAGGUGAUUUCGAGUCACCUGCGAGAUAUAGGUGGACACCUCAAUGAUAAGCGGUCAAUGCUGUUGUGAGAAGUAACCAAGUGUGGGAAUGAACUUGAGACCGGUCAGGGUCUUAUGGUGGAGUUGACCGUAGUGCCCCUGCCUGUGUCGAUUAAGGACCGAUCAUUGACGACCCUCUUGUCAUGUUGAACGCAUGCCCACACUAAGCUGGAAGGAUAAGUCAUUCCGACCGUGAAGCCUGAGCACUAUCUGGGCCAGGAAUCGGCUCGAUGUACGCGUUGUAUUGGUGAUCUUUGAGGAGAACGAUGAGGGCGCGGUGUGCAACCUUGGUAUACCUUGGAUACCUCGGUCGACGAAACGGUCCUCGGGUACGAGUGGUGCCUGUCGAACACGCGAAUUGGUCCUGUAUAGUGUAAUACGGUGAUCUGUAGCUCACUUGAUCAGUGAGUGUGGUUUGUGUGGAGAACAAACUCGCCAGCUGGUCAGAAAUCGAUUCGUAUCGCCAUCGCUCCUGGAUAAUGAGCACUUGACAUGAGCCCUGUCCUGGUAGUAAGGUCUAUGAAACACUUGGGAUAUGAUAAGGAAUGUUUUGUGAAUGUUAUGAUGAGGUACCAUCAUAUCACAACACUUGUUUGCAAUAGUAUAGGUGCAAAUCUGGAUGAUAGGUAAUAACACCUGACCUGAGCUAAUUAAAGAAGAAGGGUAAGGCUAGGAUAUACAUCUAGUUAAUUAAAGCUUUUGGGCAAAAGGUCUCAGUUACCCCAUCAAACAGCCUUCAUGAUCCUUGAAGAGUCUUUAUUUUUGGUUUAUGACGGGUAAGUCUAGCUGAGUACAUUCUCGUACUCAGGGUUCCAUUCCCAUGUUGUUUUGCAGAUGGGCAGAUGUACUAUGGUUAUUGCGUUCACUGCUUGUACCCAGCGUUGGGUGAUGACUAGACCGAGGGCGAUGGUCACUCUACCUUCUCUUUUGCUUUUGGGCGAAUGAUCAACAAUGGCACUGUAUCAGACUGAAUGUGUGUGUGUGUUAUUUUAAAACUAUGAAGCUUCCGCUACUUGUGAACUUGGUUUGUAAUAACUACAUUUGAACUCCGAUGUAUGUGAUGUAUGUUGCGAACUGGAUGUAACUGUGAAUGGUGACCGCUGAACUUAUUACGAUCUUGGCUGUAUGUAUGAGUUGUGGUUUGAAAUCCUUCGAGAUUUCACGGACUACCGGGAUUAUAUGGGCUUAAGCUUGAUGAUUUGACUCUGCAAACGGUCAAUAUUAGGCUUAAUCUCUCAUAAUUUGGACGGUUAUGUUACAUCCGUAACCGAUAAUGAUCCAGUCCAAUGAUAGGCAGGGCCCACAUAAGAUGGUGGUAUUUGUCCUCUGUUUGCCACAUGUUUGGCAGCCGCCACAUACGCAAGUUCAUUUUUUCCUCUGCUUCUCUGCCAUAUAGACUGAAUACAGAGCACUAUGAUGGGCUCUAGGAAUGCAAAACACUGGCCCAAAUAGAAUAAUGUUUUGCUAAGCCCAAUACAUUUCAUCUUCUUCCUUGUGAAGGGGCAGGUGUCUGACAAUUUUCAGGGGCUAUACACGCCGGAGCCAAGGUAUGGCGAGGGCAUACUUUCAACACUUAGUCCUUCGCCCCACAUAGUACACGUUGGCAUUUGAGGCAUGUUAGUUGUAGAAAUAGAGAAGAGAAUAGAUGUAUAUAGACAAGAUAUAUAUAUAGAGAUAUGCCAUAGAUGAGUGAUGCAAUUUGUAGCUCCAAACUGUAACAAACAUUGUGUUGGAGGGAUAGAUGGGGAAGUGAGUCACGUGCCCAGAGGAAUAGAAGAGGCAGAACGAUGGAGAAGUAAACUGACAAACUAUGGGACCAAUAGGAAAAGUUUUCUGCAUUUAAUAUUAUGUAGGAUAGAUAUAGAUAUAGAGAUUAUGUAUAGAUACAGAUUAAAUUGAACUACACUUCUAUAAUUUUCAACAGAUAUUGUAGCUCCAAUAUAGUCUGCUCCUGCUAGGCUUCAAAUUCCUUCGGUGUGUGGUGGGUCAACUAGAAGAGUGGUGGGAGCGAGUGGCGGACAAAUAAAGAAGACAUAUUUAUAUAAUUUAAUAAUUAUUAGUAAUAUAUAAAAAUGUCUAGUGACAUGCUAGAUAUGUUAUAGAUAUUAAGAUACAUAUUAAAGUAAAUUUUCAUAUAAUAAUAUAUUAGAAGGGAGUGAAUUGUGUUGUUCACGCAACUUUUGCUAUACCAGGUUUUGUUGUGUAUAAAUACUAAGCCAAAACAUGCAUCGAUUCACUCCCAUAGACCACAAGCCCACACAUCUUAAUAUAAUAUUCAUUCACUCUCUCUUCACUCGUGCAGAUAGUAGGCAUGGUGAAAGCGGUGGGAGUAGUAGUGGCCUUAGCCCUGGCCAUGGUAGUGGCAAUGAGUGUAGGCGGGGUGUCAGCGAACUGCAACAUCGCGCUGCUAGCAGUUUGCAAGACGGCGGUCAUCGGAGGGUUAAAACCCACUGUGACGUGCUGCUCCAUCCUGCGAGCACAGGAGGCAUGUAUGUGCAAAUACCAGAAAGACCCCAAGUAUGGCAUGUACAUUAACCCUGCCCGCAAAAUGAUUACCUCCUGCGGCAUGGCCAUCCCCAACUGCUAGGUGCACUUCCCAUGCCCCCACCGUGUCAGUGUUGGAUGUGUGCCUUGUUACCUCUUGUGUGCAUGUAACAUGCCUUAUAUAUAAAUAAAUAAUUUCGGCAAAAGAACCAGUUUAUUGGUUGAAGAUGCAUAGGUCUACGCAUGUCGAUCAAUCUCUGUAUGUUUGUAUUCAAUUUACACCUUAUAUGGACCAUCAUAUAGCACUAAGAGUGAUGGUGCAUAUCCGUGCCCUGUUCAAGACAUGCUUUUCAUUAGCGGCCAGGAACAUUCAUACCAGAUGUAAAGUGAUGGCUUAGCCUCAACAUUGUCAUGCUAGACUGCAAAGCCUCAAGAUUUUCUCAAAUCAAAGACCGAAUAGAACAAUGGCUUUACCCACAGGCGGCACGCUGACCCAACUUAGUUAUGCAGGAGACAUGCUUCUGCCAAGACGUGGAAGACCCCCCAAUGCCACAAUCUAGCCUUGUAAACAACCAAAAAUGGGUGGAAUAAUUUUCCUACCGAGAUAAGACUGUCUCUAUUUAUAUGAGAGGAUCCAUAUAUCCAAUUGUCAAAAACACAUCUAC